rnacentral:rRNA from 1 species
GAUGAACGCUGGCGGCGUGCCUAAUACAUGCAAGUCGAGCGGACGGACGAGGAGCUUGCUCCUCUGACGUUAGCGGCGGACGGGUGAGUAACACGUGGAUAACCUACCUAUAAGACUGGGAUAACUUCGGGAAACCGGCGCUAAUACCGGAUAAUAUAUUGAACCGCAUGGUUCAAUAGUGAAAGACGGUUUUGCUGUCACUUAUAGAUGGAUCCGCGCCGCAUUAGCUAGUUGGUAAGGUAACGGCUUACCAAGGCGACGAUGCGUAGCCGACCUGAGAGGGGGAUAGGCGACACUGGAACGGAGACACGGUCCAUACUCCUACGGGAGGCAGCAGUAGGGAAUCUGCCGCAAUGGGCGAAAGCUUGACGGAGCAACGCCGCGUGAGUGAUGAAGGUCUUCGGAGCGUAAAACUCUGUUAUGAGGGAAGAACAAAUGUGUAAGUAACUAUGCACGUCUUGACGGUACCUAAUCAGAAAGCCACGGCUAACUACGUG